CAGCCAAAGUUUUACAAAUAUUGCAUCAUGGCAUUCAUUUAUACAAAAUACAUAGCUUGGUUUUUAUCAGACAAAACUAGACCCAGAUGAAAUGGGUAAAGGGGCAAGUGCCCAGGGGCUUCCCUGAUUCCAGGCCCUGAUGAAUGUUGCCUAGCACACCAUAACUCAAAGUUCAGUGUCACAGAACUUCUGAUUCCAGGCCCUGAUGAAUGUUGCCUAGCACACCAUAACUCAAAGUUCAGUGUCACAGAACUUCACCAUCAGGUCAGAAACCAUCCUUCGCGCGAAAGGUAUGUAGCUCAAACUGUACC
rnacentral:lncRNA from 1 species